rnacentral:rRNA from 1 species
CCACACUGUAAACGAUGAAUGCUAGGUGUAGGAGGUAUCGACCCCUUCUGUGCCGCAGUAAACACAAUAAGCAUUCCGCCUGGGGAGUACGGCCGCAAGGUUGAAACUCAAAGAAAUUGACGGGGGCCCGCACAAGCAGCGGAGCAUGUGGUUUAAUUCGAAGCAACGCGAAGAACCUUACCAGGUCUUGACAUCUGAUAAAAGCAUAGGAGACUAUGUGUGAGCUUGCUCAUAUCAAGACAGGUGGUGCAUGGUUGU